rnacentral:rRNA from 1 species
CCCUUAGAUGUUCUGGGCUGCACACGCGCUACACUGGCAGGUUCAGCGAGCUUCUUGCCCUGAUCUGAGAAGAAUGGGAAACCUUUUCAACACCUGCCGUGCUUGGGAUAGAUGUUUGCAAUUAUUCAUCUUCAACAAGGAUUGCCUUGUAGGCGUGCCUCAUCAGGGCACAUCGAAUACGACCCUGUAUUCUGUACACACCGCCCGUCGCUCCUACCGAUUGAAUGGUCCGGUGAAGCGUUCGGACCGUGGCCUUUGGACGGUUCGCCGUCUGUUGGCUGCGGGAAGUUCGUUAAACCUUAUCAUUUAGAGGAAGGAGAAGUCGUAACA